rnacentral:rRNA from 1 species
CUCGUAGCUUGCUAUGAGAACAAUUAGUGGCAGACGGGUGAGUAAUGCAUAGGAAUCUACCUAGUAGUAUAGGAUAGCCACUAGAAAUGGUGGGUAAUACUGUAUAAUCCCUGCGGGGGAAAGAUUUAUCGCUACAUGAUGAGCCUAUGUUAGAUUAGCUAGUUGGUGGGGUAAUGGCCUACCAAGGCAGUGAUCUAUAGCUGGUCUGAGAGGAUGAUCAGCCACACUGGAACUGAGACACGGUCCAGACUCCUACGGGAGGCAGCAGUGGGGAAUAUUGGACAAUGGGCGCAAGCCUGAUCCAGCUAUGCCGCGUGAGUGAGGAAGGCCUUAGGGUUGUAAAACUCUUUCAGUGGGGAAGAUAAUGACGGUACCCACAGAAGAAGUCCCGGCAAACUCCGUGCCAGCAGCCGCGGUAAUACGGAGGGGGCAAGCGUUGUUCGGAAUUAUUGGGCGUAAAGGGCACGUAGGUGGUUUGGUAAGUUAAAGGUGAAAUGCCAGGGCUUAACCCUGGAGCUGCUUUUAAUACUGCCAGACUGGAGUCCGGGAGA